UACAGAGGGGGCAAGCGUUGUUCGGAAUUACUGGGCGUAAGGGCGCGUAGGCGGCCUUCUAAGUCGAACGUGAAAUCCCCGGGCUCAACCCGGGAACUGCGUCCGAUACUGGAAGGCUUGAAUCCGGGAGAGGGAUGUGGAAUUCCAGGUGUAGCGGUGAAAUGCGUAGAUAUCUGGAGGAACACCGGUGGCGAAGGCGACAUCCUGGACCGGUAUUGACGCUGAGGCGCGAAAGCCAGGGGAGCAAAGCGGG
rnacentral:rRNA from 1 species